rnacentral:rRNA from 1 species
UACGGGGGGAGCAAGCGUUGUUCGGAUUUACUGGGCGUAAAGGGCGCGUAGGCGGCCACCGCAAGUCAAUUGUGAAAUCUCCGGGCUUAACUCGGAAAGGUCAACUGAUACUGCGGGGCUAGAGUGCGGAAGGGGCAACUGGAAUUCUCGGUGUAGCGGUGAAAUGCGUAGAUAUCGAGAGGAACACCUGCGGCGAAGGCGGGUUGCUGGGCCGACACUGACGCUGAGGCGCGAAAGCCAGGGGAGCGAAUGGG